AAACUCUCAGCAUAUGACCACUCACUAAUAAGAACAAUAAAACUGAGAAGGUUUUACUAAGUAUCAGGAACUCAUUUAUUCUCCCCCAAGGAUGUAUUUUUAUCUUCACAGUUAAAAUGAGGGAUGGAAGUUCAGAGAAGUAACUUGCCAAGACUUGAAAUCAGGCUCCCCCGAUGCAGUACUUUCCUGCCUGACGGUAUCUGCCCCGUUCAAACUGUUUCUCAGGAUAAGAGGGGUUGUGGAAAGGGAGCUCCUCAAGAGUAAUGGAUAGUUUUACUGGAGCAGACUAUGGAACCUCCCAAUCCACAGUCUUAACUGUAAAGAGAGGUGAUGGGGAUGCCUGGGUGGCUCAGUCAGAGGUCCCUGGAUGCACAGAGAGGACCCGCAGCCCUUAUUAAAGGUUUGCAGUCUCGCCUCUACCUCUACCUCCAGACAGCUGCCCGGAUGGAGAGAGAAGCCGCCUUGUCCUGUUGCAGCAUGCACACACCAUCAUCGGACGACAUCUGCCCAGGAAAGCUUGGAGAGAUCAGCAGAGAGGGCCAAUUAUGGCUCUGAGAGGCAGGACCCUAGGUUCCUGUGUCCUCUGCCAUUGAUUCACCAUGGCACGCUGGGCACUUCAUUCUGGCUCUCUGGGUAUCAGUUUUCUCAUCUGGAACAUGUACUCCCCAAACACUGCUCACAACAGAACUGUGAUUCCAAAUGUGUAUUAGUACUGCUCAGAACACUCUCAUACCACCUACCCCACCCCACCCCUUUUAUUUUUGAAGAUGGUUUAUCUGCUAAAGGCCUUGAAAUAAAACUCAUGUUUUG